rnacentral:lncRNA from 1 species
GUUCGGUUUUGGAUUAGGGUUAGGAUUAGUGUAGGGUAAGGGUUAGGGUUAGGGUUAGGUAAGUGUUAGGGAUUAGGUUAGCUUAUGGUUACAAUUGUGGUUUGAGUUAUGAAUGUGCAAAAGUUAAGGUUAUGGUUAGGGUUUGUGUUAGGUUUAAGGUUAGAUUGUUGGUUUGUGUUAGGUUUACUGUUAUGGUUAGGGUUAGGGAUAGGUUUAGUGUUAGGGUUAUGUGUAAGUUUCUGAUUAUGGUUAGGGUUAGGGUUAAUGUUUCACUUAGGGUUAGAGUUAGGUUUUGGGUUUGUGUUAGGGUUAGGGUUAGAAAUAUUGUUAGGGAUAGGGUUAAGGUUAGGGUGAGGUAUAGGGUUAGGAUUAGGGUUAGGGUUAGGAUUAGUGUUAGGGUUAUGGUUAGGAUUAGAAUUAGGUUUAGGGUUAUAGUUAGGUUUAGUGUUAGGUUUAGGGUUAGGAUUAGUGUUAGUGUUAGUGUUUUGGUUCUGGUUACUUAUAUGGUUAGGUUUAGUGUUAGGAUUAGGGUUCAUGUUACAUUUAGAGUUAGGAUUAUUGUUAGGGUUAGGGUUAUUUUUAGUGUUAGUGAAAGUUUUAGGAUUAGUUAUAGGUUUGGGGUUAGUAUUAGGGUUAGGGUUAGGGUUAGGUUUACAGUUAAAGUUAGGGUUAGUGUUGGGAUAGUGUAAAGUUUAUAGUUAGUGUUAGAAUAAGGGUUAGGCUUAGCAUUAGGGUUAGUGUUAGGGUUUGGGUUAGCGUUAGAGUAAACUUUAUGGUUAGGGUUAAAGUUGGUGUUAGGUUUUGGUUUAGGGUUAGUUUUUUAGUUAUAGUUAGGGUUAGUGUCAGAAUUAUGAUUAGGGUUAGGAUUAGGAAUAGUGUUAGGGUUAAUGUUAGUGUUAGGGUUAGGGUUUGUGUUAGGGUUAGCAUUAGGGUUAGGAUUUGUUUUAGGAUUAUAGGGUUAUGGUUGGAUUAUGGUUAGAGUUAGGGUUAGGGUGAGGGUUAGGUUUAAGGGUAGGGUUAGUGUUAGUGUCAGGGUUAUGGUUAGGGUUAGGGUUAAUGUUAAAGGUAAGUUUAGUGUUAGGUUUACCAUUAGGGUUAGGUUUUGGGUUAGUACUAAACUUAGGGUUCGUAUUAGGUAUGGUUUAUAGUGAGGGUUAGGUUACUUUUAGCUUUAUGGUUUCGGUUAGGGCUUGUGUUAGGGUUACGGUAAGGAUUAGAGAUAGGGUUAAGGUUAUAAUUAGGGUUAUAGUUAGGUUUAGGGUUAGGGUUUGUGUUAGUUUAGGGUUAGUGUUAGUGUAAGUGUUUGGGUUAGGUUUAGUGUUAAGGUUAGGGUUAGUGUUAGGAUUAGUGUUUGUUUUAGGGUUAGGUUUAGGAUUAGUUUAAGUUUUAGGAUUAGAGUUGGGGUUUGUUUUAUGAUUAGUGUUAAUUUUAGGUUAGGAUUAUGAUUACAG